GACGAACGCUGGCGGCGUGCUUAACACAUGCAAGUCGAACGGCAACGCCCUGCUUUUGUGGGGUGCUCGAGUGGCGAACGGGUGAGUAACACGUGAGUAACCUGCCCUUGACUUUGGGAUAACUUCAGGAAACUGGGGCUAAUCCCGGAUAGGAGCUCCUGCUGCAUGGUGGGGGUUGGAACGUUUCGGCGGUUGGGGAUGGACUCGCGGCUUAUCAGCUUGUUGGUGGGGUGGUGGCUUACCAAGGCUUUGACGGGUAGCCGGCCUGUGAGGGUGACCGGCCACAUUGGGACUGAGGUACGGCCCAGGCUCCUACGGGAGGCAGCAGUGGGGAACAUUGCACAAGGGGCGGAAGCCUGAUGCAGCAACGCCGCGUGCGGGAUGACGGCCUUCGGGUUGUAAACCGCUUUCGCCUGUGACGAAGCGUGAGUGACGGUAAUGGGUAAAGAAGCACCGGCUAACUACGUG
rnacentral:rRNA from 1 species